CUUUAUUAUUAUUAGGUAAAGAUAAAGAUUUGAAUGGAAGUCGUAAAAAUAAGUUGCGCAAUGAUUUGCAGAGAAUUUUCCAUUUACUAUUUUAAUCUACAAUCAUUUUUGUUAUAUAGCUCGUGGAUUCUUAUAUUCUCUAGUCUAAUCAAAUACAUCUCAUCACCAAUUUUAUGGUUUUCAAUCAUUGCAAUCACGCAUUGCUUCUACUCCCAUGUUUUUCUGAAAUCAUGUGAAUCAUGGAGGCCUUGAAUAUAGUCGUUCGAGAUUGCUUUAAGUAGGUAUGAAAAUUAUUAGAUUGUAGAUAUGAAAUAGUCUAGAGUUAAAUUUUGCCAUAUUUUCUUAGAUCAUGGAUCUUUUAUAAAAAAUUUAGUGGAUACUUUAUUCUUAGAUUUCUCAACCUGAUUAGAUCAUGAUCUAAACAAUCGUGAUAGAGGACUAAAACAUGAAUUAAUUGCCAGUGACGUAUGCAAAUAUGUUUUCAUAUCAUAUGCAAUCGUAAAGAAAGAUUUAUUUGAACCGAAGAGUAUCUUAAAUUACGCAGGAACCAACAAAGAAUGAGUCGAUAUUUCAGAUAACAUGUGCUUGGAUAUUCAUAUAUUAGUAAUAUAUUUGAAUGGCACACUUGUGAAAGCCAAAAACUUCAUACAGAUGAUAGGAAGAAUCAACUAAUUUUAUGUAGCUAGUUUUACCUUUUCCUGUCUUGUUGACAUGGUUAUUGGUUUGUCUUCCUUACAUCUUACCUCAUGUCACUAGGCAUAGGUUGUCUUUAUGGUUGCUGUAUAAUGCUCCACCACAAUUUAUACAAAAUGAAAUUAGCAUGCGAUAGCCUCAAGGAGGAGACAGGUUUGCAUACAAGCGUGAUGAUAGUAUCUAACAUCUAAGAUAUAAAGCCUCCUAGAGUACCCGCCGUUCUGGAGGCCUUCGCGCGCGCGUGAUCGCUGGCCACUCGAUCAGCUCGCUGGCUCGUUUUUCACCAUUGAUUUUUACUAUUCACUGCUAGAUUUUGUUACACCUCGCGUUGCUUCGCUGGGUGGCUGCCAGUGGACCCAUAUAAUCAUUGGUCCACACUGCAGCGAAGGGCUCGUCGACUGGGUUCGUGACUCAUUGACGCUCCCGGUGAAAAAGCCCUAGAUCGAGCGGUCAAAACAGAUCACGCCCUCAUUGAUUCCUUCCACUCCCUCGACACCACCUCCUCUCCACCCGGCGGCGCCCCCUCCUUUCUCCCCACCCGCCUUCCUCCCCAUCUGGCGGCGCCUCCUCCCUCCUUCCCAUGGCCUCCCGCACCGCGCGCCACCGGCUAGCUGCACCACCACCGCAUGCAGCGCCUCCUCCCUCCUUCCCACGGCCUCCCGCACCGCGCGUCACCGGCUAGCUGCACCACCACCGCAUCCUCAUAUACUCCAGCCCACUAUGCCAGCGAGAGAGGAAGCUACGGGAGGAGGAGAGCCCAUCCCGUGAGGAAGACGUGGGGAGGAGCUCUACCCGUCUCAGUUGCCGGCCGGGAUCUGUAAGAAGAGGAGACCCAGUGCUGGCGUCGGCUCCAGCGACGCGGGUUGAAGGCCAGUGCAGGCGAGCGCGCGCGUGCAGUGCGGUGCCCUAGACAGGUGGCAGCGGCCGUCAAGACAGGAGCGGCGCCGCGAGCGACGACCCUUGGUCGUCUUCAGGUGCGCGCCGUCCGUGGUGGCCGAUCAUGGGUGUUGGCUGGCGGCCGGAGGCCCCUGCAGCAGGCCGGUGCCCCUUAGCAAGAUUGGCAUGAACUGGGAAGGCAGCCGGUGUGUAGUAUGAUCCUCGCCUCCUCCAACUUCGUUAGGGUAAGCACGUCUCUGUCCUUUCUCUUCUCCCGUCUCUGUGUAUGUGUGUGUGUUCGUCGUUUCUCCUUUCUUCUCUCAUGAAGAAGGGGCUGCUCAGUUUUGGAACAACAAACCAUGGAGGAUAUGGGUCUGCACGGGCUUAGAGCAGGAAGCCAUGGCGGCCAAGGUUGAAGAUGAUGGUGUUGUCUUCUUCCUUCUGAUUGAUUUCCAACAGCUUAAGAACUUGUGCGGUGGUGUCAACCUCUUAUGCUCUCAGGGAAAAUCCUAAAGAAGCCUUGCUUUGCAUGGGAGCUGCAGUUCAUCUGGCUAAGAGAUCGUGCUAUGGAAGCGACGAGGGCUGCCGCAGUGUAGACAAGGACUCGGAUCUAAGAGGGACGCCGUGGAUGCGGAUAGCGAGAUGGUUUACAUGACUUAGAUCUGAGAGGGACGCAGUCAAAUGGUCUAACCAAGUUUUCUUCAAUCCUCUGUUCUACAUUCUGGUUUUGAUGCCUUGCUGCCUUUGACAUUAAGGUGGGAAGCUUGGCUGAUUCCGCCUCCAGUCAGAAGAUUAAUACAUCUAUGGUUUUAUUUUCCAUGCCAACAGCUUGAUUGAUGAUUCCUAAUGCAUCUCAGCAUUUAAAGAAGUGGCAAUGAUUAGCCAUCGUCAUACUGGUGAAUACGCAUUUGGAUUUAUAACAUCGAGCAUGAUUCUUCAGAAAUAAUUGUUUCUGGAGGAAUGACCAUGCCACAGUUGAUUACUGCACUAGGACUUGCCCUUGAUAAGAACCAGGGAACCCAUUUAAACAGAAUGAUGAUUGUGUGAGCCUUUAAAUAUCGCCAACACAUCAGGUAUUGGCAUCUAGAUGUUUACAACUACUAAAGGGACACCCAAGUCAUAGAUGAUGCUACAUCUGAUGUAUGAUUUGAAGAUUAGAAGCUGGAGCACAAGGAUUGUGUGAUGGAGUAAACAUUGGUUAUAUAUUUUAGGCGGGUCAGAUAUUAAAGUGGGGUGCUCACACAACACUUAGGUGGCUUACGGAGAUUACUGAAAUUGGUUUGUGGGUGUUGUGUGCUCACACCGCACUCAUAAAAUUACUAUCAAGAUUUGAAGUUAGUUAUGAGCUAAAAUUAGUUAUAAUGAAAAACCAGGAGAACACCAUAUUAGGUGAAUUUAAACCACUUACAGGACAG